GAACAUUGUUGGUCACCAGGGAAGUCGGACUGUGAUUUCCCGGGACCACACUGAACGCCGGCCGGUUAAACAUCAGAGUAACACAGCCUCACUGGGACAGGGUGGUAACCGAACCUGGAGCCGCUGUACAAGUUCAGGGACUCGGACUCGCU